rnacentral:rRNA from 1 species
AUUGAACGCUGGCGGCAGGCCUAACACAUGCAAGUCGAGCGAGCGGCGGACGGGUGAGUAAUGUAUGGGGACUGCCCGAUAGCGGGGGAUAACUACUGGAAAAGGUGGCUAAUACCGCAUACUAUCGGAUAACCCAUAUUGGAUUAGCUAGUAGGUGGGGUAAAGGCUCACCUAGGCGACGAUCCCUAGCUGGUCUGAGAGGAUGAUCAGCCACACUGGGACUGAGACACGGCCCAGACUCCUACGGAGGCAGCAGUGGGGAAUAUUGCACAAUGGGCGAAAGCCUGAUGCAGCCAUGCCGCGUGUAUGAAGAAGGCCUUAGGGUUGUAAAGUACUUUCGGCGGAGAAGCGGUACCCGCAGAAGAAGCACCGGCUAACUCCGUGCCAGCAGCCGCGGUAAUAC